CGCCGACGCCCAGUAGAGCCCCCGGGGCGGUCCCCACCGACGGCGCAGCCCGCCGGGACCGGGAGAAAGCAGCUGCGGACACCGCGCCCGUGCGUCUGCGCGCCUGGCCGCCAGGUGACCCAGCAGCCCGGCCGCCGAGAUGCCCAACCCGCCCAGGCUCCGGGCGCUGUGACUUCGCGCCGCUGUGUGCGCCUCCCCGAGCGCCGGCUGCGCCCCCCAGCCCGGCCCGGGGCCUACCGCCUGCCCGGCCCCCUGCCACUGCCAGGAGGACGGCAUCAUGCUGUCUGCCGACUGCUCUUGAGCUUGGGCUGUCCGCCAUACCGGGGGACCUGGAUCCCCUGACGGCUUACCUGGCAGUGCCCAGGAUGGUGGCUGAGGGUAAAGCUGACAGAACUGGAGGUGGAGGUGAGGGGAGCGUGCCCCAGUGGGGUGGAAAUAAUGUCUGUUCUUCUGCCAUGGCUAGGUUGGGAUGUCCUCCUCCACUCCAAAAGGCACAGGCUGUGGGCCAGGAAGUAGCAGGCCAGAGAGGACUCGAAGAUCCUUAGAAGGAGCCAUAGACGGAACCAUAGGAGGCGCCCAGGAGCUAUGGGCUCCAGAAGGUUCCUCCUAAACUGUGGUCUCAGCGAGGCUCAUUGACACUCACCGGGGUUUCGACAUUCUCCCUGGCUAGGGCCUGUUCUGGAAAUAGACCAAGGGGGAGAUGGAGCCCCUGGCCGUGGGACAUCCAAUCUGAUGGUGAUGAGAAGGCAUGAUGCCUCUUGUUCUAUUCUUUUUUGUUUCUUCUUUUUUUUUAAAUAAAAAAGACCAGUAAUGUGCUGACUUCAUACUUCCAUGGACCCUUAGCCAUGCCAAGGGGCAGUACCGGCUUUCUGCUGGUGCUGAUGAGCUGUGGUGUGAACUCACGAAGGCGCUAAGUGGGACUCGGGCCAGCCUGCCAUGAAGGAGGUAGCUGCUGCAGCUUUCAGGAAGGAACACCAGGCUGCUCAGGACCGAGGCUGAGACGGGCGACCAGGACGGGAUUGUAUGGCUGCAGGAGGCUACACAGUCCCAGGAGGCUGCUUCUAAGAGGCCCACGUGGCCUGCAUGGGGAUGCGCCUGGCUGUCCAGCAUGUGGUCAUUUGAAUUGUACAUGUUUCACUGGGAUGCCUACAGAAAAGUAGACAGAAGAUGUGGAAAAAGUUUUUGAAAUGUUGCAAACUUAGCUACUUUUAAAAUAAAAAAAAUAGCUUUAUAAUUAUAAAAGCAAUAUGUAAAUCUUAAAAUAAUUUGCUACAUUCUAGUAAGCAUCUUAUGAUCUCUAUGUGCCCUAUAACAUUAUGUUGUAUAGUUUAAAUAUAUACAAUAAAAUCUAUUUUAAAAAAUAGGACCAAGCAGGCAGCUUCUUCUACACUCAUGCCAAGUUCCAUGUCAGUAGUGGCAAACCUUUACAGGAUUAUGAAUACAAAAUGCCACUGGUCUCCUGAAGAUACAGCAGCAAAAUGAAACAUCCACAAAUAUGACUUAAAUUGAGAAUAUGUGCAUGUCUAUGACUCCACCCUUCACUGUGCUGCGGUUGUUCUCUGGACCACUCCUAUUUCAUCAGUGUUAUUGUCAACCUGAAGAACAAGCAGAAAGAGGCUCUCUGAAAUGAAAUGGAUGCUUAUUUGGGAAGAGAGCAUUGCAACGGGAAUACACAUGCCAUCGUAAAUGACAAGAAUAUUCAGGGAGGGCUGUCUCUCCCGAUCUGAAACCCCAAUUAUACCUGUGAAGGCAUGGCAUUCUGGAACACCCCAUUUCAAAAGGAGAAAUUAUAUUUGUAAAAAUUUUCAGAACCCCUACAGACCAUAACAAAGAGUAAUGUCUUGAAAACAGGCUGAGUUUAGUUGAUUUGUAAUCAAAGUUUAACCUCUUUUAGGACCCCAUCACAUUUGGCUGCCAUAUCUCCUUGGACUCCUCUUGGCUGUGACAGGGUCUCAGACGGCCCUUGCCGUUGAUGACCUUGAUGGUUUGAAGAGCCCUAAUCAGGUGCAUUGCAGGACGCUCCUCAGUUGGGAUUUGUCUGAGGCUUUCCUCGUAAAUAGCCUGGGGUUAUGGGUUUUGGGAGGAAGACCACACAGAUAAAUGCCAUUCUCAUCAUGUCAUAACAAGGGUACACACGCUGCUGACAUGACUCUUCACUGACAGUGGUGGCUGUAGUCGGCUGGCUGAGGUCUCCCCACUGUGAAGUCCCCCUCUCCAUGCUGUACUCUCUGGAAGGACGUCGCCAUGCACAGCCGACACUUAGGGGUAUGGGUUGUGCUCCACUUCCGAGGAGGAGAAGUAGCUACAUGAGUGACUGGGAAAUGUCCUGGGGGGGAUACUCAUCCAUGCCUCCACAUUACUUAUGUACUCAAUCUUUUAUUUAUAUUGCUAUGGACUCAUGGAUACUCAGCCCAUGCUCGGGCUGGACUCCAGUGUGACUUUGCUUCUUUUCCUGCUCAGCUUCUUCGAGGUUGGCCUUGGUGAGCUCCCGUGGUGGGUUCCCAGCUCCUGUGUGCCUCUGACAGGUGCUCAUCACUUGGCUUUUUGGGCAUCUCCUUAAUUUCUGCUACUAAAGAUGCUCCUGGCUUAUCUUCUGCAUGUCCUGCCUUUGCCCUUGAAUCAGUCAAUUCUCCAAGAAGCUCUGGCUCCUUUCCUAGAACAGUGUUAGAAACCAAGAUCUGGGCACUGGUGUGUUCAUUGCUAGUGAGGUGUUGUUGCUUCUAGACUCUCUCAGCUGAUAGAGCAAGGGAAUGUUUAAGCCAUUUAGAACAUAAAUGCAUUCAUUUAAAAACAUGGACUAUGUAUUCACUGUGCCUUGGGCCCCAAGCUGGGUGUUGAGGAUCUUGAGAAAAUAAAUCAAGGAAGCCCAUGGUCUAGGGUAGUGCUGGUGAGGAGAUAACAGACUCUUGAGAUGGCACUAGGGCCAUGGCGGAGACAGACCUGGACACUAGUGGGACCCAGCAAAGACCCACAGCAGCCUGGGGAGGCGGCUUCCAGAGUGCUGCGACUUUGGAACAUGAAUACUCCUGAGGGUUCACAAACGAGCCUGGGGGGUAUUCCAGGACCAGCUGGUAGGGGGGCAAAGGUUGGGUCAUGAACUAUGGGGAAUGCAAGAAUUGCAAGAGGUUGAACAUGCCUGGGGGUGCAGAGACAGAGGCUGAGGUGCAGGGCAGUCUGAGACAUGGUUAGGAGCCUGGGCAUUCUCUUGAGAGACAGGGGAGAAGAAAAUUCAGAUGGAGCGUUCAUUUCAGGAAGGCCACCCUGGGAUCUGGGCAGGAGAUGAAUACCUGGCAGGGUCAGGGAAGGGAAGGUAAUUGAAAGUUUACAAAAACAAAACCCCAUUCACAUUCUUAAAGUAUUCUUCAUAGAGGUACUAUUUCAAUAAACACAUGCUUUAUUUGUA
rnacentral:lncRNA from 1 species